rnacentral:rRNA from 1 species
AAUAGAUACCCGGUAGUCCACGCCGUAAACGAUGAGUGCUAAGUGUUGGGGGGUUUCCGCCCCUCAGUGCUGCAGCUAACGCAUUAAGCACUCCGCCUGGGGAGUACGGUCGCAAGACUGAAACUCAAAGGAAUUGACGGGGGCCCGCACAAGCGGUGGAGCAUGUGGUUUAAUUCGAAGCAACGCGAAGAACCUUACCAGGUCUUGACAUCCCGGUGACCACUAUGGAGACAUAGUUUCCCCUUCGGGGGCAACGGUGACAGGUGGUGCAUGGUUGUCGUCAGCUCGUGUCGUGAGAUGUUGGGUUAAGUCCCGCAACGAGCGCAACCCUUAUUCUUAGUUGCCAUCAUUUAGUUUGGGCACUCUAAGGAGACUGCCGGUGAUAAACCGGAGGAAGGUGGGGAUGACGUCAAAUCAUCAUGCCCCUUAUGACCUGGGCUACACACGUGCUACAAUGGACGGUACAAACGGCUGCCAACCCGCGGAGGGGAGCUAAUCCGAUAAAACCGUUCUCAGUUCGGAUUGUAGGCUGCAACUCGCCUACA